GGUCUUUUGUUUAUAUAAAAGAUCUAACCUGCUCUAUGAUAUUUUAAAUGGCUGCAGUAUUUUGACUGUACAAAGGUAGCAUAAUCAUUUGUCUUUUAAUUGGAGGCUGGUAUGAAUGGUUGGAUGAAAAAUAUACUUUCUUUAUUUUAUAUAAAAAAUUUAAUUUUUUAGUUAAAAAGCUGAAAUGUUAUUUUGGGACGAGAAGACCCUAUAGAACUUUAUCAUUAUAAGGGUAUAAUUUUUUUAGUUUAUUAUAAAAUAAUACUUUUAUAAUAAUUUUGUUGGGGUGAUAGAAAAAUUUCUAAAACUUUUUCUAUAAAUGUCAUUUAUUUAUGUUUUUUUGAUCCUUUACUAUGGAUAAUAAGAUUAAGUUACCUUAGGGAUAACAGCGUUAUUUUUUCGGAGAGUUCAUAUCGAUGAAAUAGUUUGCGACCUCGAUGUUGGAUUAAAAUAAGAAGUGGGGGUAUAAUAUCACUUUCUGGGUCUGUUCGACCUUUAAAUUUUUACA
rnacentral:rRNA from 1 species